rnacentral:rRNA from 1 species
GAUGAACGCUGGCGGCGUGCUUAACACAUGCAAGUCGAACGGGAAACCUUUUAUUGAAGCUUCGGCAGAUUUAGAUUGUUUCUAGUGGCGGACGGGUGAGUAACGCGUGGGUAACCUGCCUUAUACAGGGGGAUAACAGUCAGAAAUGACUGCUAAUACCGCAUAAGCGCACAGAGCUGCAUGGCUCGGUGUGAAAAACUCCGGUGGUAUAAGAUGGACCCGCGUUGGAUUAGCUAGUUGGUGAGGUAACGGCCCACCAAGGCAACGAUCCAUAGCCGGCCUGAGAGGGUGAACGGCCACAUUGGGACUGAGACACGGCCCAGACUCCUACGGGAGGCAGCAGUGGGGAAUAUUGCACAAUGGGGGAAACCCUGAUGCAGCGACGCCGCGUGAAGGAAGAAGUAUCUCGGUAUGUAAACUUCUAUCAGCAGGGAAGAAAAUGACGG